rnacentral:rRNA from 1 species
CCUACGGGAGGCAGCAGUGGGGGAUAUUGCACAAUGGGGGAAACCCUGAUGCAGCGACGCCGCGUGUGGGAAGACGGUCCUCUGGAUUGUAAACCACUGUCCCCAGGGACGAAGAUGACGGUACCUGGGGAGGAAGCUCCGGCUAACUACGUGCCAGCAGCCGCGGUAAGACGGGGGGAGCGAGCGUUGUCCGGAAUUACUGGGUGUAAAGGGAGCGGAGGCGGGACUGCAAGUUGGGUGUCAAAUCUACCGGCUCAACCGGUAGCCGCACUCCAAACUGCAGUUCUUGAGUGCAGUAGAGGCAGGCGGAAUUCCUAGUGUAGCGGUGACAUGCGUAGAUAUUAGGAGGAACACCAGUGGCGAAGGCGGCCUGCUGGGCUUUUACUGCCGCUGAGGCUCGAAAGUGUGGGGAGCAAACAGGAUUAGAUACCCGAGUAGUC